GGCCAACUACCACCCACGGCGGCGCGUGGUAAAAGGGCCGCCAAUGCUAUUUUUAGGCUAUAUUUGAUGCCUUAAAUUCUGUUUUGAGAAUUGAAUGACGUAGAUUGAUUGUUGGAACCAAAAUUCUACAAGAUACGUUAAUAGGCCAUUAUCUGAAUCGACGAUCCAACUGUUGGAUUGUCAUCAAAUUUUAAUAGGUUAUUAUUCAUAAUAUUUGAAGAAUAUAGGAACUUAAGGAUUGGGAAUCCGACGUACGGAUUUUCUCAAAUUGAAUUUGUAAGUUUGUAAAAUAAAAUGUUAACCGCCACUUGGUUUUGGCAAUUGGCGGAGAUCCAAACGUUGGAUUGUUCCGAAACUUUAGUAUGUUAUUUUGGAAGUAUAAUGUGGAUCCUUGGAAGUUACGGAUCAGAGAUUUGAUUUGUAGAUCUUCUGGACCGAAUUAUAUAGACUCAUGUGCGAUGUAAGUUAUGUAUUGUAUCGACGAGAAUUCUAAGACAUGGUUUGAUAAUUGGUCAUAGGCGCCGAUCAUUUGGGACGCCUCGAUGUGCAUGCUAGACAAUCAUA
rnacentral:lncRNA from 1 species